GGUCCGGGUGAUGCUGCCCACACUACAUUUCUGUUACUUCUGUUCCUCCUGUGCAUGAUCCCUUUGACCAUGGCUGCUGUCUGUGAUGGAUUAGAUCUACAAUAAUCUCUACCAGUAGAGAGAAGUCCCGCCCCCCAGGCCGAAUAAAAUUAAUAAAAUUCCCCGAUAGAUGCUUCAAUGGACAUUAAAACCUAAGGGGAUCCGAGUCUUCAGCCUGUCAAUCCACCAUCCCUCUCUCCACCUUCGCUGGCCUCCCGUCCACGUCGCGCAGGCUUCAAGGCACAUAACGGCAAGUUGGUGUCCGGGGUGGGAGCGGAAGUGAUGGACUAGUGGAGUUUGUAGUUUUUUCCCCUGCCUCAUGUUAUGGAAGUGUUGUGUUAGUCUGGUCUGUAUUGUAUUUCCUGUUUCCCCUAUAUACAGUAGAUUACACUCCUGGCACUGUAUACAAUAAACUGCGUUUUUUUCUUUGA